CGUGUCACCUAAGUGCCCCUUCGGAUAUGAUGGCCAGAAGAGCAAGCCUAAACAAGACUCUGGAGAAUCUGCGACAAUGUCACCUAAGUGCCCCUUUGGUUAUGAUUCUCAAGCAUUUAAACUGGGUCCUUUUAGCUGCAUGAUAUGUCAAGCACUUCUUUAUGAGAGCAGCAGAUGUGUGCCCUGUUCACAUGUAUUCUGCAAGGCAUGUCUCUCCCGCUUUAAGGACUGUCCAUUGUGUGGUGCUGAUAUUGAAAAGAUUGAGGCCGAUAUGAAUCUUCAGAAUGUUGUCGAUCGCUUUAUUGAAGGGCAUGCAAGGAUUAAGAGGUCUAAUAAUGAGCAAGAAGAUAUAGUGGAAAAGAAAACUGUUAUAUACGAGGAUGCAUCUUUGGAGCGUGGAGCUUUCCUGGUUCAACAAGCCAUGCGGGCUUUUCGUGCCAAUAAUAUUGAUAGUGCAAAAUCAAGAUUUACUAUGUGUGCAGAUGACAUCAGAGAACAGCUUCAGAGAAUGGGGAAUACAUCAGAGUUGUGCUCACAGCUCGGAGCAGUUCUUGGUAUGCUUGGUGACUGCAGUCGAGCUACAGGAGAUGCUGUAUCUGCAGUCGCUUACUUUGAAGAGAGUGUCAAUUUCCUUUUGAAAGUACCCAAAGAUGAUGUAGAGAUCACACAUACACUUUCUGUUUCACUAAACAAAAUUGGAGAUCUUAAAUACUAUGCCGGUGAUUUGCAAACUGCCAGAUCUCAUUAUUUUCGGGCGUUGGAUGUUCGCCGCAAUGCCAUCAAGCAACAGUCUGUGCCAUCUCAGGUAGUCGAUGUAGCCAUUUCCUUAGCCAAAGUUGCUGAUAUCGAUCGAAAUCUCGGGGAUGAGGAUACUGCAGUUGAAGGAUUUCAAGAAGGCAUAAAGUUACUGCAAUCCCUUGAACUAAAACCCGAAGAAGUUAGCCUUGAACAACGGCGGCAAUCAGUGCUCGAGUUCCUCAACAGCCAACUUGAAAAGAACGAAACUUAACUCAGCUGCCCGAAUGAAGUCCUUUCCUACAUAGUUAAGGACGAAUAAGAACAAUGUGUGUUCUCUCAUAUAGUUUGGUGUAAACACUAGAUGCUCGGUUCAGAGGCAACCUGAGAUAAACUUCGAUGUAAUCGCCGUAGAAUAAGUGAGAUUUUUAAUAGUAAUAUGCCUGUGGCAAAGUCAAUAUAGUCCUAUGUUCCAAAAUCUCAGUAUCUUGUGUAUGUAUCUUUACCACAAGUUGACAAUAUUAUUAAGUUAUUGGAGGUUUAU
rnacentral:misc_RNA from 1 species